rnacentral:lncRNA from 1 species
GUUCGGAGGGUAUUUUUGAAAGAAAAAUUAGAAAUUGAGGGUCAAAAUAAAAUUAAAGAAAAUUACACCACGUAGGACUGCCCAGUCAGCAGUCCUGAUAAAUUGGAGCGCGUCGCUUGGUAAGACGCGCUGACUCGGUUCCACACGGGAGGCCAUGUUGGCAAUCCACGUGCCCGCAAUCGAACGGUCCGGAUAUGUUUUCGCGCGCGUGGAUGGUUCAGAUCCCUGCCCUCCUCAAGUGUGAUCGGACAGUCGUGAUCAAACACAAUGACUGGUCCAGAUUCUUUCUCUCUUUAAAUACGAUCGUAGGGUCGAGAUCAAAUUGCGAUGAACAGUUUAGAUUUAUUCUCUUUAAACAUGAUCAAACAAUCGAGAUUAAACACGAUGAACGACCAAGAUUUAAGGGAGAUGGGUAUAAAUAUCUCGCAUCACACCAAACCCAAACCCUAGCUACCAGCUUGUCGCCAAAGAAGAAGAACUAGUAGCUGGAGAAGGGAGCCGACAGCCGCCUACUGCCACGCUGAAGCCACCUCCAACUUCCAAAAAUAGUUAAAAUUUUCCUAUCCACUCAGAAUUCGAUUUCAAACACCUCCAUGGCCAAAUUGGAGUAAAAAAACGGCGGAUGAGCCAAAAACUGCGGUCAAAGCCCGAUGACCAUGCCGCGGGCGAAACCCAAAAUUGCCUUCGAUGAGCCCCCUCCCGUUUCUUAUUUCAUGCAAUAUUUCUACCAUUGUGUUCACCAUUCUAUUUUUUAUAGGUUGAUCGAAGAAAAACAUCCAACCACGAAGGUGAGCCAGUGAGCCACUGCUAGUAAGUUUUUAUUUUUUGACUUUUUUUUUGCCAACCGAGGCCCCCUAACAUGCUUUCUUGUAAGGAUGGGUAUAAAACUUGUCUAAAUUGGCCAAAACUUGCCAAAAAAGGCCAGACCAAGGCAAACUACCACCACGAGCGGUAGUGCUAUCAUUGGAAAACGGUGGUGCCACUGUGCCAGAAUUUCAAAAUUGACCGAAAAAGAUUUUUAAAACUUAUUUUGGGUUUUCUGGGGUAUUUUUAGGUAUGUGAAGCAUGUUUUAAUCUCCACAGAAAAAUUUUGGAAACCUGGGGAUCGUUAGUAAUCACAGUUAAAAGUUUGAUAUUUU